CUGCACGCCGCAAUGGAUUGCUUCCUCAUCCUCCUCUUCUGUCCUCCAUCGAUUUGAGCAGCGACGUGUCCUGGAGGCACGUGAGGCGCUGUGUGCGUCCAUCUGCACGGGAUGCAGAACAACUCUCCAUCAGCAAGGACUCAAACACGCACGCGGUCUCUGCCCCUGUUAUUGUUAUUCCCCCUGAAUCUCAUCUCCUCCUACAAUAAAUCCAGCGAGGGAGGAGGCGCGCCGCCGCUGAGAUUAAAACCUGAUGGAGGGUGUCUGAGCGAUGUGUGGAGCUUGAUCAUCAGUGAGCUCCAGACGGCACAGAUGUGAUCUCG
ensembl:lncRNA